GCAAUGGGAUGCGAAUCUCGAAAGCCUGUCUCAGUUCGGAUUGGAGGCUGAAACCCGCCUCCAUGAAGUUGGACUCGCUAGUAAUCGCGCAUCAGCCAUGGCGCGGUGAAUACGUUCCCGGGCCUUGUACACACCGCCCGUCAAGCCAUGGGAGCCGGGGGUGCCUGAAGUUCGUGACCGCAAGGAGCGACCUAGGGCAAAACUGGUGACUGGGGCUAAGUCGUAACAAGGUAUC
rnacentral:rRNA from 1 species